CCUUGGGAACCACUGAGACAAGGUAAGGGCAGGGUUAACACUGAUCCUCUUCCUGGUUUGUAUCCAAUGAAAGCAGAACACUUACUAGCUUCCUGGUUUCUGUCCAAACAGGCCCUUCGGUGGAGUAGUGAGCAGGACCAUCUGAAGGCACGGCAGAGAGGCAGGACAGGUUGGGGUGGGCAACUCCAGUCCUAGUGGGCCUGAUUGGUCACACUUUUUCUGCAUCCCUAGCAAACACAGCUGAUUAAUCAAAUUGCAGUCUAAACUGAAGCUCAUGAUUAGGUGAUUAUUGGAGUCAGGCGUGUUAUUUGGGGCUGGGGAAAAACUGUGACACCAAUCAGGCCCUUGAUGACUGGAACUGCCCACCCCUGCGUAUAGUAGACAGCUGUGGCUGACUGAAUGGAUGAACAACUAUCUUUCCUCAUAGUUUACCUCCAUCUACCAUGGCAGGAUGGAUACUGCUGGUUCCAGGACACCCUGGUAGAUGCUGACAUGGCCAAAAAUGCCGUGAUGUGGCAGAAUGGAGGCAUGUGUGGUCUGGACCACUGGAACUUUGUCAUGCAUCCAUGACCUGUGACCCUAACGGAAGUUACGCCAGGACGUGGUGCCCUGAGCUGGCUGCUGUGCCUGAUGACUUCAUACACAAACCCUGUAAGUGUCCAGCCUCCAUGCUGUGCCGCACCGAAUUGUGAGUGUUACACUUCCCUUAUUGCUCUACACUGACAGAUCUGGAGGAAAGGAGCCUCUCUCUCCAGGACAUGAAGUUGGGAUUCGUGGUCAACACAGAUAGGCAGUUCCUCCUGCCUGUCAUCACCCGCAUGGAGUUCAAACACCAAUCAGACGAUCCAGACCCGGAUGCUGCCUCUAACCCCCAUGUGAGUCGAGACCAUAGCCUUCAUGAACCAGACAGACUUCAUGACCAGCGUGAUGAAAGAGGGGAGGGAGAGACAGGAGAGACCAGAGAAAGAUAGAGGGACUGGCACACCCCCAUAUGGCCCAGGGAAGGGUUAGGAGGACCCCUGCUGCUAAGGCCAGGUUAUCCUCUGUGCCUGGGGCAGUGGCUACGUUUCACAGAUGACCAAGAGGGCAGGGGUUAAAGAUCAGCCUACACUGAUAGAACUGUUGCAAAACUAGGUACCACAUCAUGGGUUAGAGUUUAAGGGUACACCUAGCCAGUUGUACAACUGAAUGCAUUCAACUGCAAUGUAAAACAAACUCCUCUGAAUCAGAGGUGUGGGGGGGCUGCCUUAAUCAACAUCCAUGUCAUCGGUGCGGGAACAGUGUGGUUAGUCUGUGUAACAAGGAAAAACUGCUGUUUAAAUUAAUUGGUUUACAUUUUAGUCCUUUACCAGUCAUAAUUCAGUAACGCAGGCUGAAUCAACUGCAAGCACUGCUACUAGGUGUCAUUGUGUUAAAGUGCAAUAUUUGUACUAAGGAAUUCAAGCAAAUAUAAACAUG